ACGGAACUAGCCGGGUCCGAUAAACCGGAGGAAGGUGGGGAUGACGUCAAGUCAGCAUGGCCUUUAUAUCCUGGGCUACACACACGCUACAAUGGGAAGGGACAAUAGGUUGCGAAGCCGCGAGGCGGAGCCAAUCCAGCAAAACUUCCCUCAGUUCAGAUUGCAGGCUGCAACCCGCCUGCAUGAAGUUGGAGUUGCUAGUAAACGCAGGUCAGCCAUACUGCGUUGAAUACGUUCCCGGGGCUU
rnacentral:rRNA from 1 species